rnacentral:rRNA from 1 species
UACAGAGGUCUCAAGCGUUGUUCGGAUUCAUUGGGCGUAAAGGGCGCGUAGGCGGCGGGGUAAGUCGGGUGUGAAAUCUCAGAGCUCAACUCUGAAACUGCACUCGAUACUGCUCUGCUUGAGGACUGGAGAGGAGACUGGAAUUCACGGUGUAGCAGUGAAAUGCGUAGAUAUCGUGAGGAAGACCAGUGGCGAAGGCGGGUCUCUGGACAGUUCCUGACGCUGAGGCGCGAAGGCCAGGGGAGCAAAGCGGGG